AUACGGCCAUAUCUUAUUGAAACAUUGGUUCCCGUACGAUCACCGAAGUUAAGCAAACUCAACCCUGGUCAGUACCUAGAUGCGUGAACGGUUGGGAAUACUAGGUGCUGUAAG